GUUUUAGGCAUGCAAGUCGAACGCGAAAGUCGCAAGACGUGUAGCGUGGCGAAAGGGGUGAGUAACGCGUGAGCAAUCUACCUCGAGGAUUGGAAUAACCACUGGAAACGGUGGAUAAUGCCAAAUUGUCCCUGCGGGCGGCAUCGCCUGCUCGGUAAACGGUCGGUUUCGGCCCUCUGCCUCGAGCGGAGCUCACGUCCUAUCAGCUAGUUGGCGGGGUAACGGCCCACCAAGGCAUUGACGGGUAGCCGGACUGAGAGGUUGGCCGGCCACACUGGGACUGAGAUACUGCCCAGACUCCUACGGGAGGCUGCAGUCGAGAAUCUUCCGCAAUGGGCGAAAGCCUGACGGGGCGACGCCGCGUGCAGGAUGAAGGCCUUCGGGUUGUAAAACUGCUGUUACACUUUACCAACGCUCGGAAGUUAAUAGCUCUCCGAGACGAGCAAGGUGGGAGAAAGCACAGGCUAACUCC
rnacentral:rRNA from 1 species